rnacentral:tRNA from 1 species
AGUAUCUUAGCUUACAUGGCACCGGACUUAAAAUCCGUUGUCCGCAAGGAUGUGCCGGUUCAAGUCCGGCCGGGGCUA